rnacentral:rRNA from 1 species
UACGAAGGGGGCGAGCGUUGUUCGGAUUCAUUGGGCGUAAAGGGUGCGUAGGUGGCGCGCUAAGUCAGGUGUGAAAUUUCGGAGCUUAACUCCGAAACUGCAUUUGAUACUGGCGUGCUUGAGGACUGGAGAGGAGACUGGAAUUCAUGGUGUAGCAGUGAAAUGCGUAGAGAUCAUGAGGAAGACCAGUGGCGAAGGCGGGUCUCUGGACAGUUCCUGACACUGAGGCACGAAGGCCAGGGGAGCAAACGGG